rnacentral:rRNA from 1 species
CAACAGGGAUUGCCUUAGUAACUGCGAGUGAAGCGGCAAAAGCUCAAAUUUGAAAACCGGCAACCCCAGCCGGCAGUGUAAUUUGAAGGGACAUCUUCGGAGCUGGCGCCGUCUUAAGUUCUUUGGAACCGGACAUCAUAGAGGGUGAGAAUCCCGUGCCUGGGUGGCUGUCCCGCUCCGUGUGAAGUGUCUCCGACGAGUCGAGUUGUUUGGGAAUGCAGCUCAAAAUGGGUGGUAAAUUUCAUCUAAAGCUAAAUAUUGGCGAGAGACCGAUGCGCACAAGUAGAGUGAUCGAAAGAUGAAAAGCACUUUGAAAAGAGAGUUAAAUAGUACGUGAAAUUGUUGAAAGGGAAGCGCUUGAGACUAGAUUCAGUCGGCGGUGAUCAGCUAUGCUUCUGCGUGGUGCACUUGCCGUCGAUUGAGCCAGCAUCGGUUUUGAUGGCGGGAUAAAGGUUUGAAGAAUGUUGCUCCCCGAUUCUGGGGAGUGUUAUAGCCUUGAGCGUAAUGCCGCCUGUCGGGACCGAGGACCGCGCUUCGGCUAGGAUGCUGGCGAAAAGGUCU